rnacentral:rRNA from 1 species
CAGUCGCCGCGGGAAUACGUAGGUGGCAAGCGUUGUCCGGAAUUAUUGGGCGUAAAGGGCUCGCAGGCGGUUUCUUAAGUCUGAUGUGAAAGCCCCCGGCUCAACCGGGGAGGGUCAUUGGAAACUGGGAAACUUGAGCGCAGAAGAGGAGAGUGGAAUUCCACGUGUAGCGGUGAAAUGCGUAGAGAUGUGGAGGAACACCAGUGGCGAAGGCGACUCUCUGGUCUGUAACUGACGCUGAGGAGCGAAAGCGUGGGGAGCGAACAGGAUUAGAUACCCCCGUAGUCCCUGUCUCUUAUAC